UUUGGAAUAUUUACUCCAUCUAUUAACUAUAUCUUGUGGUUGGGAACAACCACCAGAUAUUUAAAAGGUAUAAAAAGAAGAAACUGCUAGAACUUCAAAACAAAUGUGUUUGACUAGUAAAGAUUUGGAUAAACAACAGGAGUUACUUUGGGCUAUAGCUAAGUGCAGAUUUAUUUCCUUGUGGCUUCCUAUGUUAAUUCUUAUUAAUUAUACACUUAAAUAUGUUUUUAGUCUCAGGAAGAUUUUAUAUUUGAUUAUUUUUGAAUAAAAAUUAUUAUUAUUAUUACCUUAAUUUCCAUUAAAUAAAUUAACUGUAAUCAAUAAAGUAAUCGUUUAAUUGUUAAUAAAUUAUCAAGUAUGAUUC
rnacentral:lncRNA from 1 species